GGGCCCGCACAAGCGGUGGAGCAUGUGGUUUAAUUCGAUGAUACGCGAGGAACCUUACCAGGGCUUAAAUGUAAGUUGCAUAGAUCAGAGAUGGUCUUUUCUUCGGACUACUUACAAGGUGCUGCAUGGUUGUCGUCAGCUCGUGCCGUGAGGUGUCAGGUUAAGUCCUAUAACGAGCGCAACCCCUGUCGUUAGUUACCAGCAAGUAAUGUUGGGUACUCUAGCGAGACUGCCGGUGCAAACCGUGAGGAAGGUGGGGAUGACGUCAAAUCAUCACGGCCCUUACGUCCUGGGCUACACACGUGCUACAAUGGCCGGUACAGAGAGCAGCCACUACGCGAGUAGGAGCGAAUCUUCAAAGCCGGUCUCAGUUCGGAUCGGAGUCUGCAACUCGACUCUAUG
rnacentral:rRNA from 1 species